UGGGUCCUGGGAGGAAUGAAUUUCCCCAGCUGAACCUUAUCAAACAACAGCUUAGCACAAAAUGAGGAAGAAACCCAAAUGCGAAAGACUGCUAGGAAAAAGCCUGUGAUGCCUUGAGACAAGAAAUUCAGUCUCUAAACCAGGAUUGGAGCUUGUGGUCCUAAAUUCCAUUCGGAAUAGGGUGACUCAGUGAACUGAGAACUUUCCCAAAAAGUAGGAUGGAUGAGUCCGUGUUUAUCUGCCUCAGGCUUACAGAGGUUCCCAGUGUUGUACCCAGAUAUUUCCUACCCUCGUGUACACCCUCAGGCCCUAUUCAAGAAGCACAACGCAUUUCUGAGUUUUAUGUCCAGGAGCAGUUUUCAGAGUUAAAAACAAAAUCAAGGAAAUGUCUCUAUGCAGACAUCAAUGUCAAACGAAAUUCUUUUCUACUGUCUCUUCUCUGCCUUGCUACCUUCGCUGUGAGGAAAAAAUUAGAUGAGUAUGAUGUGGCAUAGCCUUCUUGUGGUACAGCAACAGUGUACUAGAAGAGAAAGAUUCACUCUGCUGGGCUGUGACACAGCCCUUGUUAUUUCAGACACUUUGAACUGUAAAAAAAAAUGAGCAGAGAAGACAUCAAUG